rnacentral:rRNA from 1 species
GACGAACGCUGGCGGCGUGCUUAACACAUGCAAGUCGAACGGAAAGGCCCUGCUUUUGUGGGGUGCUCGAGUGCCGAACGGGUGAGUAACACGUGAGUAACCUGCCCUUGACUUUGGGAUAACUUCAGGAAACUGGGGCUAAUACCGGAUAGGAGCUCCUGCUCCAUGGUGGGGGUUGGAAAGUUUCGGCGGUUGGGGAUGGACUCGCGGCUUAUCAGCUUGUUGGUGGGGUAGUGGCUUACCAAGGCUUUGACGGGUAGCCGGCCUGAGAGGGUGACCGGCCACAUUGGGACUGAGGUACGGCCCAGACUCCUACAGGAGGCAGCGGUGGGGAAUAUUGCACAAUGGGCGGAAGCCUGAUGCAGCAACGCCGCGUGCGGGAUGACGGCCUUCGGGUUGUAAACAGCUUUCGCCUGUGACGAAGCGUGAGUGACGGUAAUGGGUAAAGAAGCACCGGCUAACUACGUG